rnacentral:rRNA from 1 species
AGAGUUUGAUCCUGGCUCAGGAUGAACGCUAGCGGCAGGCUUAAUACAUGCAAGUCGAACGGGAUUCGGGGUAGCAAUACUUUGAUGAGAGUGGCGCACGGGUGCGUAACGCGUAUGCAACCUACCUUUAACAGGGGAAUAGCCCCGAGAAAUCGGGAUUAAUACUCCGUAACAUUGCGGUGUGGCAUCACACUGCAAUUAAAGAUUUAUCGGUUAAAGAUGGGCAUGCGUGACAUUAGCUAGUUGGUGAGGUAACGGCUCACCAAGGCAACGAUGUCUAGGGGUCCUGAGAGGGUUAUCCCCCACACUGGUACUGAGACACGGACCAGACUCCUACGGGAGGCAGCAGUAAGGAAUAUUGGUCAAUGGGCGCAAGCCUGAACCAGCCAUGCCGCGUGCAGGAAGACGGCCCUAUGGGUUGUAAAGCUCUUUCAGUGGGGAAGAUAAUGACUGUACCCACAGAAGAAGCCCCGGCUAACUCCGUGCCAGCAGCCGCGGUAAA